rnacentral:rRNA from 1 species
ACGGGUGAGUAAUACGUAGGAAUCUACCCUAGAGAGGGGGGCAACCCGAGGAAACUCGGGCUAAUACCGCAUAAUCUUGAAGAAGCAAAGCUGGGGCGACCUGGCGCUUUAGGAGGAGCCUACGUCUGAUUAGCUAGUUGGUGUGGUAAAGGCGCACCAAGGCGAUGAUCAGUAGCUGGUCUGAGAGGAUGAUCAGCCACACUGGGACUGAGACACGGCCCAGACUCCUACGGGAGGCAGCAGUGGGGAAUAUUGGACAAUGGGGGGAACCCUGAUCCAGCAAUGCCGCGUGUGUGAAGAAGGCCUUCGGGUUGUAAAGCACUUUAGUUGGGGAAGAAGAUAAUUCGUUUAAGAGAUAGAUUAUUUGACGGUACCCAAAGAAUAAGCACCGGCUAACUCUGUGCCAGCAGCCGCGGUAAUACAGAGGGUGCAAGCGUUAAUCGGAUUUACUGGGCGUAAAGGGCGCGUAGGUUGUUAUUUAAGUUGGAUGUGAAAUCCCUGGGCUUAACCUAGGAACUGCAUACAAUACUGGGUAACUAGAGUACUGUAGAGGGUAGUGGAAUUUCCGGUGUAGCGGU